UGCUCGUCCCCGUCAAACUGUGCAUAUCUGUAUACUUUCAGCUUGUAUACUUUGACAUGUGCAUACUUUAUUCUUAAUUGUGCAGAAACUUCUUUUGUGAUGCAACUAAUGGGGAAAUACAAAAAAACACAUAAUGCCGAUUGCUUUGAGCCUUUGAGUUAGAAGGGUCUGCAAUCAAUGGCACAAUUCAGCAGUUGAGCUACAAAAACUGAAAUUGAGUGCUUGUGUAAUGCUCAUCACCCAAGGACUGGGUGUUGCUUAUAUCCUGGAAUGGGGUGCGCGUCCCAUUGGGAUUGGUCGGGGCCAUACGAAGUCCUUCAACCCUAUGAAUGUCAAGAAUGUAUCACACAAUUGUAACAGAAGGAAUAGUAUUAGCACAACGCAGACAGAGUAUAUCUCAGGGUGACUUUAUUUGUGUUCAUAUGAAUUGGAACUGAGCAUUGAACGAUCCAUAUGCAGCUUCAUGAGGCAUUUAGGUGAAGUCAGUACAAUGCUCAUUUGCCAAGGACUCAUGGAACGACGUCAGGUUUAGGUGAGGUUGACAAAUGAGCAUGCAUCUGCGGAGCAGAGGGGUCUUCUAGCCUAACAAAGUCUUGGUGGCAGCGGUGUGUAAAAGACUUACGAACUUCAGAUCAGAGAAGACCAUGCACCUGUGCCGGUGAAGAGCUCGUCGUCGCCGCCAUG